UUUUUUUUCCCCCAUUUAAUAUUUAUCUGAAUUGAUAUUUCCCAAAUAUCUCACUCUUCACUGUUUAAUUGCUAAAUUUACAGUUAAGUGUAAAGGAGGUGUGACAAGAUUAAAACUUUACUCUUACUCAGGACAUAAAGGUUCCCAUGCUUGCUUCACACCCCUUCCAGUGAGCACACUGGAAAAGACAAGGUGUCAUUCGGCUUUAAAAAAAACAGUCAGAUUUGGGACCUGUUAUGCAUUUACUUCUUUUCUGUCGUAUACAUACUAUUACAGUGGUGGAUGCUUACAUUAAACAGAGUUUCAAGUAAUUAAGUCAGUGUAUGUACAAGUAAUCCCUGAAACCCAGGCUUUAGACUCCCCUAAACACCCCAUUGUCCUACAGGGUUGUUUUUCCUAUUGUUGGGACGUCAGACACAGCAGAUCCCUAAUUCAGUCAUUUCGACAGCUGCACCAACCUGCUGAUCAUACCUUCAGGUUUUCAGAAAGUUGCCUCAAAGGAGCUAAAGCAGCUGGGGAAAAUAUGGCCUUUUAUAUUUAAAGGUCUGUAAUCAUUCCCAAAGAUUCAACAUAACGUUCAUGCUUUCCUGCCAAAUUAUAAUUAGUAAUUUGAUACUAAUUAUAAGAAAAUAAUUUGUUUUGUUUUUAUACAGUAACUUUAGCAUAACUGAAGUCGUGCAAAAUUUUACCAUAAUACUGUGAAAACUCUGAAUUACAGGCCUCUAAAGCAUACAGGGUUGGUGCUUUUUAAAUUGCCUUAUUUGUCCUUCAUCACUUCAGGAGUACAGCAGAUGGACACAUGAAAUUUUCAGGACUGAAACACAAUCUUGAACUUUGUUAAAAACUGCAACCAAAUUUUAAAUCGGUUUUAAACCAACUCGAAGUGUCACAGUUUUUUUCUGAGGAUGAGGAAUUGUUUUAAUUUUAAUUAAUUUUUCAUCUGAAAUUUCGUGCAGCCAGCUGCUGAACCUGAGAGUCACCUGUAAAGUCUGCUUAGAAGGUCUGUGAGAAAAAAAAUCAUAGUAUGAAGGCGCAGUGAAUGAAUCAUGUCUUCAUUGUGAAAUGCCAAAGUUAUUGUAUAUAAACUAAGCUGAUUCUGGCAUUUUUAAUGUGGAAUUACCAGAUUAAAUACUCAAAUUUUAUUUAAUUUUUUUAGGUCAUUUUGAAUUUCAGACUUUUAAAAGUACAAACAAAAAUCAAUUUCCUUUAACAAAAAUUUCCUGGGAAAAUAUGAACAGGCUGCAGGCCUUUAGGACCGUUAUACCUGGAGCAGGUUGCAGGGAAAUGUUUCAGCUUCCAUUGCCUCAAAAUAUUGCUCGUUGCCAAACAAUCAGUGUUCUCUUGGCGGGGCCGGCUGUGUUAAAGAUUGUCUUUGAAAUGAAGUUGUUUUUAUCUGGAGCAUUUUCUUUGUAGGCACUCCCUCAGGACAAGAAACGGGAGACAAACUGAACUUUUGUGCUUCUAAUGAACUCUUUAGAAGCACGGUUACUGUUGCUGCAUCGACUUGGAUGUUUCCUCUCAAUGCAAAGAAAGAAAAACAAUAAAAAGAGACGCAGUAUCAGUGAAUGUGGAAGUGGAAGUGUCUGACCUGAGUUUAGAUUUUUUUUUUUUUACUAACCAAUGUGUACAGAGACGGACGUCUUCUGUCCUGCUAUUUAAAUUGUUGUGAAGGCUGAAGACGAACUGAAAUAAACUUUAUUUCUGGACUUCCA
ensembl:lncRNA